rnacentral:rRNA from 1 species
UGGGGAAUAUUGCGCAAUGGCCGAAAGGCUGACGCAGCGACGCCGCGUGUGGGAGGAAGCCCUUCGGGGUGUAAACCACUGUCAGAGGAGAAGAACCCUGCCAGUUCGCAUAGGGCUGGCAGUUGACGGUACCCUCAAAGGAAGAACCGGCCAACGCUGUGCCAGCAGCCGCGGUAAUACAGAGGGUGCGAGCGUUGUUCGGAAUUACUGGGCGUAAAGCGCGCGUAGGCGGAUGUUCAAGUCGGGGGUGAAAUCCCGGGGCUCAACCCCGGAACUGCCUCCGAUACUGGACGUCUCGAGGACGGGAGAGGCGAGUGGAAUGCCGAGUGUAGAGGUGAAAUUCGUAGAUAUUCGGCGGAACACCCGUGGCGAAGGCGGCUCGCUGGUCCGUUUCUGACGCUGAGGCGCGAAAGCGUGGGGAGCAA